rnacentral:ncRNA from 1 species
ACGAGAACAGGAGAUGGCAUUCCUCCUCAUAACCGCCCUACCGGCUGAUGAUGCCUACAUAGUC